CACCAGGCCUGGGGACAGGGGCCGGCCACUGGGCCGGCCGCGAGGAGCUGUCCUCAUGGCGGCCGGGUCCAGCCAUAGCCCGGCAGCGCAGUGCAGUGGGCAGCCUGCCCCACCCGCCUGCUCCCCGUGCUGCCUCAGGCCUCAGGCCCUCAGCCAGAGCACCCUCCAAGGUCCCCCAGCCCAGCCACGCGGCCUCCUUGCGGCCCGAGUCACACCCAGGGCCUAGCCUGUCCCAUACCCUGUGCCAGCAGCGCCCCCUGCUGGCUCCGCAGCCCUCCGACUCGGCUGGCUGCACCGCCUCAGGGAAGCCCUCUGGGAUCUGCCUGCCCUGCUCUCUGGAGUGAGGACCCUCCCAGCACCGAGAUGGGGAGUUUGUGCAACUCCCACUGGGUCGGCCCAGACUUGCCUCCGUUUUUCCCCCGCAAGGGGAAUGUGUUAGGUAUUUCGCUUAUUUCGGUAUCUCCAAAACUCUUAGCACAAAAUCAGGCACAUAGGAGGCCUUGAAAAGAUCCUUGUUGGUUGACGUAUUGCUGAGUGAGUGAGCUGUGAUGGCGGCACAGGCCCUGGUCCUCAGAGCCUGAGGGAGUGUGUGCACGUGUGCAUGCAUGUGCGUGUAUGUGGGAUGUGCGUGUGUCUUUGUGUGCAUAUGUGAUGUGUGUGGUGUGUAUGUGGUGUAUGUAGGUGUGUGGUGUGUGUGGUGUGUGUGUGCUGUGUGGUGUGUGUAGGUGUGUGCUGUGUGUAGGUGUGUGCUGUAUGUGUGCUGUAUGUGUGGUGUGUGGUGUGUGUAGGUGUGUGAUGUGUGUGGUGUGUGUGGUGUGUGUGUGGUGUGCGUAGGUGUGUGCUGUAUGUGUGGUGUGUGGUGUGUGUAGGUGUGUGGUGUCUGUGGUGUGUGUGUGCUGUGUGCUGUGUGUUGGUGUGUGGUGUGUGUGCUGUAUGUGUGGUGUGUGGUGUGUGUAGGUGUGUGGUGUGUGUGGUGUGUGUGUGGUGUAUUUGGGGUGUGGUGUGUGUAGGUACGUGUGCAGGUGUAGCUCACACCCCGCCUCCCUCUAGUCCCCUCACAAGUAAGCAGGACCGUCAGGCGUCCCGGGCGGGGCAG
rnacentral:lncRNA from 1 species